rnacentral:lncRNA from 1 species
AAGAAAAAUUGCAACAACAAGUCUUAAUAACUCUAAUAGAUUCUUAAACAAAUUAAAAUUAAAGAUUAUCAAAUAUAAUCAAACAUACAAUCAAAUUCAAUCAAAAUUUCACAAGAAUUAUGUAAGAAACAUAAAAUAUUCUUAAAGGAUCUUAAACAAAAACAUAAAGAAAUAAUAUAGAAUUCAAAAAUAUACUAAAAUAGAAAUAUUAAUAAAAUAUUAAAAUAGAACCUUAAUUAAAUCCUAAUCAAAUCCUAACCAAAUACUAAAUAAAUCCUAAUCAAAUCCUAACAAAUCUUAAUCAAAUACUAAUCAAACCUUAAUCAAAUCUUAGUCAAAUCCUAACCAAAUCCUAAAUAAACCUAAAUAAACCUUGACCAAAUUCUAAUCAAUCCUAAACAUACCCUAACCAAA